rnacentral:tRNA from 1 species
GCCUGGGUGGCUCAGUCGGUUAAGCGUCCGACUUCAGCUCGGGUCACGAUCUCACGGUCCGUGAGUUCGAGCCCCGCAUCAGGCU